GACGAACGCUGGCGGUGUGCUUAACACAUGCAAGUGGUGCGACGAACCAGAGCUUGCUCUGGGGCAAAGCCGCGAACGGGUGAGUAACACGUGGGUAAUCUACCCCCGAUGACCGGGACAACCCCGAGGAAACUCGGGCUAAUACCGGAUGUGGUACGGAGACAUAAGUCUCUUUACUAAAGGUAGCUUCGGCUUCCGCAUUGGGAGGGGCCCGCGGCCCAUUAGCUAGUUGGUGGGGUCAAGGCCUACCAAGGCAACGAUGGGUAGCUGGUCUGAGAGGACGAUCAGCCACACUGGGACUGAGACACGGCCCAGACUCCUACGGGAGGCAGCAGUGGGGAAUCUUGCGCAAUGCGCGAAAGCGUGACGCAGCAACACCGCGUGAGGGAAGACGGCCUUAGGGUUGUAAACCUCUUUCAGAUGGGACGAAGGUGAUGCGGUGAAUAGCCGAUGUCAUUGACGGUACCGUCAGAGAAGCUCCGGCUAACUACGUGCCAGCAGCCGCGGUAA
rnacentral:rRNA from 1 species